AGUGAACGCUGGCGGUAGGCCUAACACAUGCAAGUCGAACGGCAGCACAGUAAGAGCUUGCUCUUACGGGAGGCGAGUGGCGGAGGGGCGAGGAAUACAGCGGCAUCUACAUUUUCGUGGGGGGUCACGUAGGGAAAACUACGCUAAUACCGCAUACGCCCUACGGGUGAAAGCAGGGGAUCGUCGGACCUUGCGCGAUUGCAUGAGGCGAUGGCGGAGUAGCGAGUUGGCGGGGUAAAGGGCCACCAAGGCGACGAACCGUAGCUGGUCUGAGAGGCUGGCCAGCCCCACUGUGACUGAGACACGGUCCACACUCGUACGGGGGGAAGCAGUGGGGAACAUUGGACAAUGCGCGCAAGCCUGAUCCAGCCAUACCGCGUGGGUGAAGCAGGCCUUCGGGUUGUAAAGCCCUUUUGUUGGGAAUGAAAAGCAGCAGCUUAAUACCCCGCUGUUCUGACGGUACCCUAAGAAUAAGCACCGGCUAACUUCGUG
rnacentral:rRNA from 1 species